rnacentral:rRNA from 1 species
GACGAACGCUGGCGGCGUGCUUAACACAUGCAAGUCGAACGGGCCCGCUCUCUUUUUUGGGGGUGGGUUGAGUGGCGAACGGGUGAGUAUCACGUGAGUAACCUGCCCCCUGCUCCUGGAUAACUGCUUGAAAGGGCGGCUAAUACGGGGUGUGCCGGCUGGUCCGCAUGGGCCUGGUCGGGAUAGUUUCAUCUUCGGGUGUUUCGGUGGGGGAUGGGCUCGGGGCCUAUCAGCUUGUUGGUGGGGUGAUGGCCCACCAAGGCGGUGACGGGUAGCCGGCCUGAGAGGGUGGGCGGCCACACUGGGACUGAGACACGGCCCAGAGUACUGCGGGAGGCAGCAGUGGGGGGUAGUGCACAAGGGGCGGAAGCCUGAUGCAGCGACGGCGCGUGAGGGAUGGAGGCCUUCGGGUUGUGAACCUCUUUCUCCGGUGGUGAAGGCCCUGUCCGUUGCGGCGGGGUUGACGGUAGCCGGGUAUGAAGCGCCGGCUAACUACGUG